GACAGCAGUCGCCACGGUAAUACGUAGGUGGCAAGCGUUGUCCGGAAUUAUUGGGCGUAAAGCGCGCGCAGGUGGUUUAAUAAGUCUGAUGUGAAAGCCCACGGCUCAACCGUGGAGGGUCAUUGGAAACUGUUAAACUUGAGUGCAGGAGAGAAAAGUGGAAUUCCUAGUGUAGCGGUGAAAUGCGUAGAUAUUGGGAGGAGCACCGGCGGCGAAGGCGGCUUACUGGACGACAACUGACGUUGAGGCUCGAAGGCGUGGGGAGCAAACAGGAUUAGAUACCCCUGUAGUCCCUGUCUCUUAUAC
rnacentral:rRNA from 1 species